GGAAUUUUCCGCAAUGGGCGAAAGCCUGACGGAGCAACGCCGCGUGAGGGAUGAAGGCCUCUGGGCUGUAAACCUCUUUUAUCAAGGAAGAAGAUCUGACGGUACUUGAUGAAUAAGCCACGGCUAAUUCCGUGCCAGCAGCCGCGGUAAUACGGGAGUGGCAAGCGUUAUCCGGAAUUAUUGGGCGUAAAGCGUCCGCAGGCGGUCUGUCAAGUCUGCUGUUAAAGCGUGGAGCUUAACUCCAUUUCGGCAGUGGAAACUGACAGACUAGAGUGUGGUAGGGGCAGAGGGAAUUCCCGGUGUAGCGGUGAAAUGCGUAGAUAUCGGGAAGAACACCAGUGGCGAAGGCGCUCUGCUGGGCCAUAACUGACGCUCAGAGACGAAAGCUAGGGUAGCAAAUGGGAUUAGAUACCCCUGUAGUC
rnacentral:rRNA from 1 species